AUGCAGGAACCAAGUCAGAACAGUCUAGGAGGUGAACCAAUUUCUAAUGACUUAAUCUAUCUUCAGAUCGUCGCACAGCAGAUUUUCUGGGAGAUACUUUUUAGAGAACACUUCGCGUAAGGAGGGUUACUACUUAUGUCACAACCGAGCAGAACCCGCAACAAUCCUGAUUUCUCACUUCGUUUCUCUCACACUUGACGCUUGCCAAUUUCGGGACGAAAUUUCCUUUAAGUUGAGGAUGAUGUGACAACCCCGAAUUUCCAAGGAUUGGGUUGUCCAACUGUACACAAGUAACUAACAAAUUAUACCGAGCAAAC
rnacentral:lncRNA from 1 species